CAACACAGAAAGGAAACUACUUUGUCCCUGGAAUGAAUUUCCUUCCUUUUUUCCUGAAGCUUUUCUCCUGGCCCAGCACAGCUUGGGCAGAUGGGACUCUCCUGCUCUGUCUUCCCCUGCUCCAGCUUCGUGGAGCCCUGUGCCUGGCCUGGGGAAGCCAGACUGCAGCGGCGUUGGCAGGGCAAGGGGCCCAGCAGCUAGAGAGGACGCAUGGGGCAGCUGGAGCGGAGCCUGACCCAAGUCCUCUGAUGUCCUACAGCCACCAGAGGAGAUUCUUGCAGUCUGAAUGAUACUGACCAUUUCCCAGAGCAGAUUCCAGAGGGUGCUUCAUGAAGCAGCUAAGGGAUAAGAAGACGGUUCAUCCUCUGUCCCUCACGCCCCAGUCAAUCAGGGCGUCCAAACCAACUCUGAUAGUCACAAAAAUGAAACGUGCUGUGGCAACUUCUCCCUUAUCCUGCCAUCAUCUAAUAUCACUGUGGAUUACGUUCUGCUUCUUCACGUUUAUCUCUCUCAUGCUAUUUCAAUUCUAGCCUCUUUGCUUAUAUCGGGCCCGGGGUUCAACAGUCUGACAUAAUCACAGAACCGUUCUUCUGCGUAUCUUUUAUUUUUUUGGUACCAGGAAUUGCACUCAGGACCUUGCACUUGACAGGCAGUCACUGUGCCGCUGAACUACAUCCCCAGCCCUGGCUUUCAUUUUUGACCCGAGGGUAAACUAAUGUGCUACAUCAUCUACUAUUUGGAAAAAAAAAUAGAGUAAGUGAGAAUUGUGUUGUUAAUGAAGAGUCCAUUUAUAAGAAGCUAUUGUGUCACCAACUUUUCCAGUCUUUCAAGCAAUCGAUUCCCUUUUCAGCAAAUUCAAUAAUCUAGAAUUUAUCAUCUUCAAAACUAGGGUUGUAUCAAGUGGAAACAGAGGCUGGAUUGAAAAGACUCUCAAUACUAGGUCAAUAGAGAUCCCAUUUGUACCCACAGGCAAAGCAUCUUCAAACCCCAGAGAGCAUUUUCUUACCAUAGUUAAGUAGUAUUAUAUAUGAAUAAAAGUUUGAG
rnacentral:lncRNA from 1 species